rnacentral:rRNA from 1 species
GACGAACCAUGCAACCGUUAUUCGGAAUUACUGGGCUUAAAGCGUGCGUAGGCGGCUCAGAAAGUUGGGUGUGAAAUCCCUCGGCUCAACCGAGGAAUUGCGCCCAAAACUACUGGGCUCGAGGGAGUUAGAGGUGAGCGGAACUCACGGUGGAGCGGUGAAAUGCGUUGAUAUCGUGAGGAACACCGGAGGCGAAAGCGGCUCACUGGGGCUUAUCUGACGCUGAGGCACGAAAGCUAGGGGAGCAAACGGG